UUUUCACUCUACUCAUCCUUAAAUGAUUUUGGAGUUAGUAUGCUUUAUAUUUUAUUAUUUUAUCUUUUCUUUUCUUUCUCACAAUUUUUUUUCCCAUCUAUCUCAAAUUAUUUACAUCUAUUUUUUUUUUCCUAUCAUACUCUUUCAUCACUCACAUUUUAUCUUUCAUUUUUUUUUACUACAUACAUCUUUCUCGCUUAUUAUCAUUUUUACCUUUCCUUUUAUAUCUCAUUCAUACCUUCAUCUCAUUCUACACCACUAUUGAUGAUUGAUUCAUUUGAAGAGUGUACAUGAUUUGAUGGCAAAUUUACCAACUUUGUGAGGAUUUGAGCCUAUGAGCAACCACUUUGCUCUAAUUAUUUUUGUUAUGUGAAUAUCAAUCCUAGUUUGUUUAUUCUAGAACUUGCUUUAUUAUGCAUGUUGAAGCCACAUUACGGGAUUUUAUGCAUUAAAAUGAUAAAGGCAAACCAUUUACCAUUUUUCUAUUCUCACAUUUUC
rnacentral:lncRNA from 1 species